rnacentral:tRNA from 1 species
UGUUAGGUGGCUGAGUUAAAGCGAUAGACUGCAGAUCUAUUAAUGGAGUUAGUUCUCCCCAACAA